rnacentral:rRNA from 1 species
UCAAGCUACAAAGGGCGCAUGGUGAAUGCCUUGGCAUCAGGAGCCGAUGAAGGACGUGAUAAGCUGCGAUAAGCUUCGGGUAGGCGCACAUAGCCAGUGAUCCGGAGAUUUCCGAAUGUGGGAACACACAUGGGAAACCCCAUGUAUCGUAUAGUGAAUACAUAGCUAUACGAGGGUAAACCUAGGGAACUGAAACAUCUAAGUACCUAGAGGAAGAGAAAGAAAAAUCGAUUUCCUAAGUAGCGGCGAGCGAAAGGGAAAUAGCCCAAACCAAAGAUUUAUCUUUGGGGUUGCGGACAGAGCAUUAACGAGAAGUCGUAACUAACCGAACACAACUGGAAAGUUGGACCGUAGGAGGUAAUAGUCCUGUAGGUGAAAGUUAAGAUAAUCAAGCUCUGAUCCAGAGUACCACGAGACACGUGAAACCUUGUGGGAAGCAGGGAGGACCACCUCCCAAGGCUAAAUACUACCUGAUGACCGAUAGUGAAGCAGUACCGUGAGGGAAAGGUGAAAAGAACCCCGGGAGGGGAGUGAAAUAGAACCUGAAACCGUGUGCCUACAACCGGUCAAAGCCCCAUAUGAGGGUGAUGACGUGCUUUUUGUAGAACGAGCCAACGAGUUACGGUAUGUAGCAAGGUUAAGUACUUAAGGUACGGAGCCGAAGGGAAACCGAGUCUUAAUAGGGCGACUAGUUGCAUGCCGUAGACCCGAAACCGGGUGACCUAUCCAUGGCCAGGUUGAAGCGAGGGUAAAACUUCGUGGAGGACCGAACCACGUUGCUGUUGAAAAAGCAUGGGAUGAGCUGUGGAUAGCGGAGAAAUUCCAAUCGAACUCGGAGAUAGCUGGUUCUCCCCGAAAUAGCUUUAGGGCUAGCGUCGGAUAUGUGUAGUGGAGGUAGAGCACUGAAUGGGCUAGGGGGCAUAUCGCUUACCGAACCUUAUCAAACUCCGAAUGCCAUAUACAUUUAGUCCGGCAGUCAGACUACGAAUGAUAAGAUCCGUGGUCAAAAGGGAAACAGCCCAGAUCGUCAGCUAAGGUCCCAAAGUGUAAGUUAAGUGGAAAAGGAUGUGGGAUUUCUAAGACAACUAGGAUGUUGGCUUAGAAGCAGCCACUCAUUUAAAGAGUGCGUAAUAGCUCACUAGUCGAGAGAUCCUGCGCCGAAAAUGUCCGGGGCUCAAACUUACCACCGAAGCUACGGGCUUGCGUAAGCAAGCGGUAGGGGAGCGUCGUAAUCGGGCUGAAGUCGUACCGUAAGGAGCGGUGGACUGAUUACGAGUGAGAAUGUUGGCAUUAGUAGCGAGAUGUAGGUGAGAAUCCUACAGGCCGAAUAUCUAAGGUUUCCUCAGGAAGGCUCGUCCGCUGAGGGUUAGUCGGGACCUAAGCCGAGGCCGAAAGGCGUAGGCGAUGGACAAUCGGUUGAUAUUCCGAUACCACUACCAUCGUUAUUAUCGAGGGUGUGACGGAGAAGGAUAGUGUGUGCUAGCGAUUGGAAAUGCUAGUCUAAGCGUUUAGGGAGUUACGGUAGGCAAAUCCGCUGUAACAAUUCUGAGGCGUGAUGGGGAAGGCCAUAUAGGCCGAAGUACAUGAUUCCAUGCUUCCAAGAAAAGCAUCUAGAGAGAGAAGUAGUGCCCGUACCGCAAACCGACACAGGUAGAUGAGGAGAGAAUCCUAAGGCCGGCGGAAGAAUUGCAGUUAAGGAACUAGGCAAAUUGACCCCGUAAGUUCGCGAGAAGGGGUGCCUGCGAGAGCAGGCCGCAGAGAAUAGGCCCAAGCAACUGUUUAGCAAAAACACAGGUCUCUGCUAAAGCGUAAGCUGAUGUAUAGGGGCUGACGCCUGCCCGGUGCUGGAAGGUUAAGGGGAACACUUAGCGCAAGCGAAGGUGUGAACUUAAGCCCCAGUAAACGGCGGCCGUAACUAUAACGGUCCUAAGGUAGCGAAAUUCCUUGUCAGGUAAGUUCUGACCCGC